rnacentral:rRNA from 1 species
ACGCGAAGAACCUUACCCAGGCUUGAACAGCGAGUGACAAACUACGAAAGUGGUCUUCCGCAAGGACACUCGUAGAGGUGCUGCAUGGCUGUCGUCAGCUCGUGUCGUGAGAUGUUGGGUUAAGUCCCGCAACGAGCGCAACCCUUGUUUGCUGUUGCCAUCAGGUUAAGCUGGGCACUCUGCAGAGACUGCCGGUGAUAAACCGGAGGAAGGUGGGGAUGACGUCAAGUCAGCAUGGCCUUUAUGUCUGGGGCUACACACGUGCUACAAUGGCCGGUACAAACCGUUGCAAAACCGCGAGGUUGAGCUAAUCGGAGAAAGCCGGUCUCAGUUCGGAUAGCAGGCUGCAACUCGCCUGCUUGAAGUUGGAAUCGCUAGUAAUCGCGGAUCAGCACGCCGCGGUGAAUACGUUCCCGGGCCUUGUA